rnacentral:rRNA from 1 species
GGCUCAGGAUGAACGCUAGCGGGAGGCUCAACACAUGCAAGUCGAGCGGCAAUCCCGAGCAAUCGGGACUAGAGCGGCGCACGGGUGAGUAACGCGUAUGCAACCUGCCUUUUACAGGGGGAUAGCCCGGAGAAAUCCGGAUUAAUACCCCAUGGAACUAUAAAGCCGCAUGGUUUAAUAGUUAAAGAUUUAUCGGUAAGAGAUGGGCAUGCGUGACAUUAGCUAGUUGGCGGGGUAACGGCCCACCAAGGCUACGAUGUCUAGGGGUUCUGAGAGGAUGAUCCCCCACACUGGUACUGAGACACGGACCAGACUCCUACGGGAGGCAGCAGUGAGGAAUAUUGGUCAAUGGGCGCAAGCCUGAACCAGCCAUCCCGCGUGAAGGAUGAAUGUACUAUGUAUUGUAAACUUCUUUUCUGCAAAGAGAAAGGGCACUACGUGUAGUGUUUUGACGGUAUUGCAGGAAUAAGCAUCGGCUAACUCCGUGCCAGCAGCCGCGGUAAUACGGGAGGAUGCGAGCGUUAUCCGGAUUCAUUGGGUUUUAAAGGGUGCGUAGGGCGGUUUUUAAGUCAGUGGUGAAAUCCCUGCGGGCUCACCGUAGAAACUGCCAUUGAAACUGAAGAACUUGAAAUAUAGUUUGAGGUAGGCGGAGUGUGCAGUGUAGCGGUGAAUGCUUAGAUAUUGCACAGAAAACCGAUUGCGAAAGCAGCUUACCAAGCUAUUAUUGACGCUGAGGCACGAAAGCGUGGGAUCGAACAGGGAUUAGAUACCCAGGUAGUCCACGCCCUUAAACCGAUGUUCACUCGCUGUUUUGCGAUUAUACCCGUAAGCCGGCCCAAGCGAAAAGCAUUAAGUGAACCACCCUGGGGAGUACGUCGGCAACGGUGAAAACUCAAAAGGAAUUGACGGGGGGCCCGCACAAGCGGAGGGAACAUGUGGUUUUAAUUUCGAUGAUACGCGAGGAACCUUACCUGGGCUUAAAUGUAGGCUGCAUUCCGCUGAAAGGUGGAUUUCCGCAAGGACUGCUUACAAGGUGCUGCAUGGUUGUCGUCAGCUCGUGCCGUGAGGUGUCGGGUUAAGUCCCAUAACGAGCGCAACCCCUACCGUUAGUUGCCAUCAGGUCAUGCUGGGAACUCUAGCGGGACUGCCACCGUAAGGUGAGAGGAAGGUGGGGAUGACGUCAAAUCAGCACGGCCCUUAUGUCCAGGGCUACACACGUGUUACAAUGGCAGGUACAAAGGGCAGCUACACCGCGAGGUGAUGCUAAUCUCUAAAGCCUGUCUCAGUUCGGAUCGCAGUCUGAAACCCGACUGCGUGAAGUUGGAUACGCUAGUAAUCGCGCAUCAGCCAUGGCGCGGUGAAUACGUUCCCGGGCCUUGUACACACCGCCCGUCAAACCAUGGAAGCUGGGGGGACCUGAAGUAUGCAACCGCAAGGAGCGUCCUAGGGUAAAACCGGUGACUGGGGUUAAGUCGUAACAAGGUAGCCGU